GUAAAAUAUCCAGAAGAGGUAUUUUCUAAAUCUUCAGGCAGUGCAGAAUCUACUGUAUCUAAAAUCAUGACGUCUAUAAUACUUCAGCAAUGAUGGAAGUCGAAAAAUCAAACACAUAAAAAUCCACAAUGUCCGUCUACAGUGGUCUUACCGUUCUUUGUGCAAAGUCGAUGAAAUUGGUCAAAUCCAAGUCCGUCCUGUACUGAGCAAUGGAGCGCUCCACGAUCUCAUCCACAGUUAGGGGACUGGUACGACCGUCCAAAGUCGAAAUGCGAAUAAAAGCGGGAAGUGUAGUGCCCCAGUUGCUGGGUCUACUGUUACCCAACUUACAAACAACAGUAGACAGCAGUUCUCUCUGAGAGCUCCCAGG